UUAAGCGACUAAGCGUACACGGUGGAUGCCCUGGCAGUCAGAGGCGAUGAAGGACGUGCUAAUCUGCGAUAAGCGUCGGUAAGGUGAUAUGAACCGUUAUAACCGGCGAUUUCCGAAUGGGGAAACCCAGUGUGAUUCGUCACACUAUCAUUAACUGAAUCCAUAGGUUAAUGAGGCGAACCGGGGGAACUGAAACAUCUAAGUACCCCGAGGAAAAGAAAUCAACCGAGAUUCCCCCAGUAGCGGCGAGCGAACGGGGAGGAGCCCAGAGCCUGAAUCAGUGUGUGUGUUAGUGGAAGCGUCUGGAAAGGCGCGCGAUACAGGGUGACAGCCCCGUACACAAAAAUGCACAUGCUGUGAGCUCGAUGAGUAGGGCGGGACACGUGGUAUCCUGUCUGAAUAUGGGGGGACCAUCCUCCAAGGCUAAAUACUCCUGACUGACCGAUAGUGAACCAGUACCGUGAGGGAAAGGCGAAAAGAACCCCGGCGAGGGGAGUGAAAAAGAACCUGAAACCGUGUACGUACAAGCAGUGGGAGCCUCUUAAUGGGGUGACUGCGUACCUUUUGUAUAAUGGGUCAGCGACUUAUAUUCUGUAGCAAGGUUAACCGAAUAGGGGAGCCGAAGGGAAACCGAGUCUUAACUGGGCGUUAAGUUGCAGGGUAUAGACCCGAAACCCGGUGAUCUAGCCAUGGGCAGGUUGAAGGUUGGGUAACACUAACUGGAGGACCGAACCGACUAAUGUUGAAAAAUUAGCGGAUGACUUGUGGCUGGGGGUGAAAGGCCAAUCAAACCGGGAGAUAGCUGGUUCUCCCCGAAAGCUAUUUAGGUAGCGCCUCGUGAAUUCAUCUCCGGGGGUAGAGCACUGUUUCGGCAAGGGGGUCAUCCCGACUUACCAACCCGAUGCAAACUGCGAAUACCGGAGAAUGUUAUCACGGGAGACACACGGCGGGUGCUAACGUCCGUCGUGAAGAGGGAAACAACCCAGACCGCCAGCUAAGGUCCCAAAGUCAUGGUUAAGUGGGAAACGAUGUGGGAAGGCCCAGACAGCCAGGAUGUUGGCUUAGAAGCAGCCAUCAUUUAAAGAAAGCGUAAUAGCUCACUGGUCGAGUCGGCCUGCGCGGAAGAUGUAACGGGGCUAAACCAUGCACCGAAGCUGCGGCAGCGACACUAUGUGUUGUUGGGUAGGGGAGCGUUCUGUAAGCCUGUGAAGGUGGCCUGUGAGGGUUGCUGGAGGUAUCAGAAGUGCGAAUGCUGACAUAAGUAACGAUAAAGCGGGUGAAAAGCCCGCUCGCCGGAAGACCAAGGGUUCCUGUCCAACGUUAAUCGGGGCAGGGUGAGUCGACCCCUAAGGCGAGGCCGAAAGGCGUAGUCGAUGGGAAACAGGUUAAUAUUCCUGUACUUGGUGUUACUGCGAAGGGGGGACGGAGAAGGCUAUGUUGGCCGGGCGACGGUUGUCCCGGUUUAAGCGUGUAGGCUGGUUUUCCAGGCAAAUCCGGAAAACCAAGGCUGAGGCGUGAUGACGAGGCACUACGGUGCUGAAGUGACAAAUGCCCUGCUUCCAGGAAAAGCCUCUAAGCAUCAGGUAACAUCAAAUCGUACCCCAAACCGACACAGGUGGUCAGGUAGAGAAUACCAAGGCGCUUGAGAGAACUCGGGUGAAGGAACUAGGCAAAAUGGUGCCGUAACUUCGGGAGAAGGCACGCUGAUAUGUAGGUGAAGCGACUUGCUCGUGGAGCUGAAAUCAGUCGAAGAUACCAGCUGGCUGCAACUGUUUAUUAAAAACACAGCACUGUGCAAACACGAAAGUGGACGUAUACGGUGUGACGCCUGCCCGGUGCCGGAAGGUUAAUUGAUGGGGUUAGCGGUAACGCGAAGCUCUUGAUCGAAGCCCCGGUAAACGGCGGCCGUAACUAUAACGGUCCUAAGGUAGCGAAAUUCCUUGUCGGGUAAGUUCCGACCUGCACGAAUGGCGUAAUGAUGGCCAGGCUGUCUCCACCCGAGACUCAGUGAAAUUGAACUCGCUGUGAAGAUGCAGUGUACCCGCGGCAAGACGGAAAGACCCCGUGAACCUUUACUAUAGCUUGACACUGAACAUUGAGCCUUGAUGUGUAGGAUAGGUGGGAGGCUUUGAAGUGUGGACGCCAGUCUGCAUGGAGCCGACCUUGAAAUACCACCCUUUAAUGUUUGAUGUUCUAACGUUGGCCCCUAAUCGGGGUUGCGGACAGUGUCUGGUGGGUAGUUUGACUGGGGCGGUCUCCUCCUAAAGAGUAACGGAGGAGCACGAAGGUUGGCUAAUCCUGGUCGGACAUCAGGAGGUUAGUGCAAUGGCAUAAGCCAGCUUGACUGCGAGCGUGACGGCGCGAGCAGGUGCGAAAGCAGGUCAUAGUGAUCCGGUGGUUCUGAAUGGAAGGGCCAUCGCUCAACGGAUAAAAGGUACUCCGGGGAUAACAGGCUGAUACCGCCCAAGAGUUCAUAUCGACGGCGGUGUUUGGCACCUCGAUGUCGGCUCAUCACAUCCUGGGGCUGAAGUAGGUCCCAAGGGUAUGGCUGUUCGCCAUUUAAAGUGGUACGCGAGCUGGGUUUAGAACGUCGUGAGACAGUUCGGUCCCUAUCUGCCGUGGGCGCUGGAGAACUGAGGGGGGCUGCUCCUAGUACGAGAGGACCGGAGUGGACGCAUCACUGGUGUUCGGGUUGUCAUGCCAAUGGCACUGCCCGGUAGCUAAAUGCGGAAGAGAUAAGUGCUGAAAGCAUCUAAGCACGAAACUUGCCCCGAGAUGAGUUCUCCCUGAGACUUAGAGUCUCCUGAAGGAACGUUGAAGACGACGACGUUGAUAGGCCGGGUGUGUAAGCGCAGCGAUGCGUUGAGCUAACCGGUACUAAUGAACCGUGAGGCUUAACCUU
rnacentral:rRNA from 14 species